GAAACUUCACAAUCCACAACACAGUCCUACUUUAUACAUUACGUAACAGUAAACUUAGAUCAUUAUACUAAUUGAAAUAGUUUUAAGGCUGAAUAUUCAAGCAUAUAUGAGGUUGAAAAAAAGGAAUAGGAUUCGAUAUGAAUUUCAUCAUUUCUUAUUCAAAUUUCAGACCCAAACUUCAAAUACACUUAGGUGAUAUCCAUGGUGUUUUGAGAAUACCUGUUUACAACAAUAAAACACAUCAAAGCCUGAAGUUAUGAAUCAAUAGCAGGAGCAAUUCAGCAAAGAAGAAACAACAACAGAAUCGACUCAAAACAAGCAAUAGAAUAGCAACCAACAACCUUCAGAUCAUUAUUUGGAUCCCAGAAUGAAAGAGAAAGUUUAAUUUUUA
rnacentral:lncRNA from 1 species